AUCUGAACACAACAUGGUAAUGUGCACAUAAAUUAAAUUGGGUCUCCAGGCCUGCCCUCUCUGAUGCUAUUUGGCUUUGAUUAGUGAGCAUGGUUCCACAGCAAAACA